rnacentral:lncRNA from 1 species
CAGGAGCUUUUGGAGCACGAAUAUGUAGAGCAUUUGAGCUAUUUGAAAGCAUUUUUUUCAUUGAUUUCAAUGAUGAAUUAUUAUCAACUCAUGGUAAUUGUUAUUGUCACUAUGAGUAGCUAAAUAUUUCAGAUUUGAUCUUUUGAGAUGAAUCCAAUUGUACUUUGUUAGCUCAUAUGACUAUUUGAUAUAAUUUGAG